CGGAACGGGUGAGUAACGCGUGAGGAACCUGCCUCAAAGAGGGGGACAACAGUUGGAAACGACUGCUAAUACCGCAUAAGCCCACGGCUCGGCAUCGAGCAGAGGAAAAGGAGCAAUCCGCUUUGAGAUGGCCUCGCGUCCGAUUAGCUAGUUGGUGAGGUAACGGCCCACCAAGGCGACGAUCGGUAGCCGGACUGGGAGGUUGAACGGCCACAUUGGGACUGAGACACGGCCCAG
rnacentral:rRNA from 1 species